UACAGAGGUCUCAAGCGUUGUUCGGAUUCAUUGGGCGUAAAGGGUGCGUAGGUGGUGUCGUAAGUCGGGUGUGAAAUCUCGGGGCUUAACCCCGAAACUGCAUUCGAUACUGCGGUGCUAGAGGACUGGAGAGGAGACUGGAAUUCACGGUGUAGCAGUGAAAUGCGUAGAUAUCGUGAGGAAGGCCAGUGGCGAAGGCGG
rnacentral:rRNA from 1 species